rnacentral:lncRNA from 1 species
AUAGAGUCCAGCUGCUAUGCUAUCGGUAGCACGGGGCCUCUCGUGCUACCAAGUUGUUUUUGAUGAUGCGGCUUCCAAAUCGACGAUCGGCUCCGUUAGACUUGAUCUACAUUAGUUAAAAUAUUUGGAAACCAAAUUUCAUAAUUUUUCGAUAUCAUUUACCUAUCGAACAAGUAGUCUAAAAUUGAACGGCUGAAAAUAAAAAUCUCAUAAAAAAUGAUGAUAAAAGAUUUAAAUUCAAGAUCAGAUAUACUGAUCUUACUCUAAAUAGUGAAAAGAAUUUUCUAUAAAAUUUUCAUCGCAUUUGGAUUGUUUUACACCGUUAAACUCACAAACACACCACAUCGGCCAUUAAAAUUGUCAAUUUUGAGAUCUUUUGAUCACUAGUCAAUUGAUGUCGAAAAAAUCUGAAAUUUAGUUUCCAAAUACUUUUAAUAGUGUAGAUCAAGUCUAACGGAGCCGAUCGUCGAUUUGGAAGCCGCAUCAUCGAAAACAACUUGGUAGCACGGGAGGCCCCGUGCUACCGAUAGUAUAGCAGCUGGACUCUAUAUAUAUAUAUAUAUAUAUAGUAGAGUUAGAAUACUUGUAAAAGUAUCACCCAAGUGAUACUUGUGUGUUUAUAGCCCUUGGAUGGAGAGAUGUGAGUUUGAGAUGAUGGUGGUAGGUAGUGGUAGGUGGAAUAGUGUUUGAUCCAAGGACUAUUAGUAAUCAAAAAGUAGAUCCAAUGGCUAAAAACACACAAGUAUCACUUGGGUGAUACUUGUAAAAGUAUUCUAGCCCUACUCAUAUAUAUACUAUAAUAUAUGUUAUAUAUAUAUAUAGUUUUACGGGUAAACUUCAAAUAUCUCCUAUAUAGUUUCGCACUUUCUCACUUUAGUAUUCUGUAAUUUGAAGUGUAUCAAAUUAGUGUCCUGUAAUUUUAUUUUUAUCUUUUCGUCAGCCCUUUUGUUAAUAUUUCGCUAAAUUAUACAAAAAAUUUUAAAUACCCUAACUAGGUUUAUCAAAUAUUCACUUUUUUAAUACCGUUUAGUUUUAACUUUGUCACUGAUUUAACAAAAAGCAUUAGUGAAAUCGAUAAUAAAACAAUAAAAAUAAAACCACACGAUAUUAAAUUGAUACACUUUAAACCAUAAGGUGCUAAAGUGAAAAAGCAUGAAACCACAAGAGUGGUAUUUGAAGUUUUUUCUAAUUUUAAUGAUCAUGAGAUACUAAAAAUAAAAAAAA